AGAAUAUAAGAAACCGUUUCUUAACUUUUAAUUAUAAAAAUAAGAACCAGAUUUUAAAUAAAAUAUUUAAGAACUGGUUCUUAACUUUUUUAGUUAAAAGUUAAGAGACGGCUAUUAUAUUCC
rnacentral:pre_miRNA from 1 species